AGUGAACGCUGGCGGUAGGCCUAACACAUGCAAGUCGAACGGCAGCACAGUAAGAGCUUGCUCUUACGGGUGGCGAGUGGCGGACGGGUGAGGAAUACAUCGGAAUCUACUUUUUCGUGGGGGAUAACGUAGGGAAACUUACGCUAAUACCGCAUACGACCUACGGUUGAAAGCAUGGGAUCUUCGGACCUUUCGCGAUUGAAUGAGCCGAUGUCGGAUUAGCUAGUUGGCGGGGUAAAGGCCCACCAAGGCGACGAUCCGUAGCCGGUCGGAGAGGAUGGUCAGCCACACUGGAACGGAGACACGGUCCAGACUCCUACGGGAGGCAGCAGUGGGGAAUAUUGGGCAAUGGGCGCAAGCCUGAUCCAGCCAUACCGCGUGGGUGAAGAAGGCCUUCGGGUUGUAAAGCCCUUUUGUUGGGAAAGAAAAGCAGCAGGUUAAUACCCCGCGGUUCUGACGGUACCCAAAGAAUAAGCACCGGCUAACUUCGUG
rnacentral:rRNA from 1 species